GAUGAACGCUGGCGGCGUGCCUAAUACAUGCAAGUCGAGCGAACAGACGAGGAGCUUGCUCCUCUGACGUUAGCGGCGGACGGGUGAGUAACACGUGGAUAACCUACCUAUAAGACUGGGAUAACUUCGGGAAACCGGAGCUAAUACCGGAUAAUAUAUUGAACCGCAUGGUUCAAUAGUGAAUGACGGUUUUGCUGUCACUUAUAGAUGGAUCCGCGCCGCAUUAGCUAGUUGGUAAGGUAACGGCUUACCAAGGCAACGAUGCGUAGCCGAGCUGAGAGAGGGAUAGGCCACACUGGAGCUGAGACACGGUCCAGACUCCUACGGGAGGCAGCAGUAGGGAACCUUCCGCAAUGGGCGAAAGCCUGACAGAGCAACGCCGCGUGAGUGAUGAAGGUCUUCGGAUCGUAAAACUCUGUUAUUAGGGAAGAACAAAUGUGUAAGUAACUAUGCACGUCUUGACGGUACCUAAUCAGAAAGCCACGGCUAACUACGUG
rnacentral:rRNA from 1 species